UUAAAGGAAUUGACGGGGCCCGCACAAGCGGUGGAGCAUGUGGUUAAUUCGACGCAACGCGAAGAACCUUACCAGGGCUUGACAUCCCCUGACCGCGUAUGAAAGUACGUUUUCACCCUCGGGUGACAGGGAGACAGGUGGUGCAUGGUUGUCGUCAGCUCGUGUCGUGAGAUGUUGGGUUAAGUCCCGCAACGAGCGCAACCCCUACGUUUAGUUGCUAACAGGUGAAGCUGAGCACUCUAGACGAACUGCCGUUGACAAAACGGAGGAAGGUGGGAUGACGUCAAAUCAUCAUGCCCCUUAUGUUCUGGGCUACACACGUGCUACAAUGGCCGGUACAGACGGAGGCGAAGCCGCGAGGCGGAGCAAAUCCGAAAAAGCCGGUCUCAGUUCGGAUUGCAGGCUGCAAUUCGCCUGCAUGAAGUCGGAAUCGCUAGUAAUCGCAGGUCAGCAUACUGCGGUGAAUACGUUCCCGGGCCUU
rnacentral:rRNA from 1 species